CGCCCCAAUUUUUUUUUUUUUAAGAAAGAAAGUUAUAAUAACCUGUUUGGAAAAGCCCAUUAGUGGUACAUCAUUAUUUGUUUCUUGGCGCCAGAACAAUGAAUGCAGUGUAUAGCUGCCUAUAAACUUUUCUUAUUGCUACAGAGCUGAUCAGCCGCAGUGAAGUAACCUGAGGUGUGUUCUAUGUUCCAGUGCAGGAGUCUAGCUAGAAGGACCUUGAAGGGAAUAGGACUUAUCUUCCUACUCGACAUGGGCAUGGUCAAGCUCUGCAGUGAUAAUUGUAGGUGUAAAUGUGGUGAGCAAGAGUCAAUGAGGAAAUGUUGCAACUUCCAACGUGAACUACAUGGCAUAUUGAUGAAAGUUAACUACGGAAGGAGAAGGAGAAUUUGACCACUCAAGUGAAAUGGACAAACUCCUAGAAAGACACUGUAACUGAUUCAAGAAGAAUUAGGAAAUCUGAAAAGACCUAUAACAAAUAAAGAAAUUAAAUUAAUAA